CCAUGUGGUACGAAAGCUAGGCUGGGGCCAUUUCUCUACUGUCUGGCUCUGCUGGGAUAUUCAGCGCAAGCGCUUUGUGGCUCUGAAAGUAGUGAAGAGCGCAGGACAUUACACAGAGACAGCCGUGGAUGAGAUCAAGCUCCUGAAAUGUGUUCGGGACAGUGACCCUAGUGACCCCAAAAGAGAGACCAUUGUUCAACUUAUCGAUGACUUCAGGAUCUCAGGAGUUAAUGGAGUCCAUGUAUGCAUGGUGCUAGAGGUCCUGGGCCACCAGCUCCUGAAGUGGAUCAUCAAGUCCAAUUACCAGGGCCUGCCUGUGCCCUGUGUUAAGAGCAUCGUUAGGCAGGUAGGUGCUGCCCCCAUGCUGCUCAGGUUGGCUGGGUAUGGUUGUUAGGGUUCAGCUGUAGCUUUUGCCAGGUGCUGCAUGGUCUGGAUUACCUCCAUACUAAGUGCAAGAUCAUCCAUACGGACAUCAAGCCUGAGAACAUUCUACUGUGUGUUGGAGAUGCCUACAUCAGGCGCCUGGCUGCUGAAGCCACAGAGUGGCAGCAGUCAGGGGCCCAGCCCCCAUCCCGCUCCACAGUCAGCACUGCCCCCCAGGAGGUCUUGGUAAGUUGUGGCACCCCUUCUUUCCCUGUCUCCGCUUCCAAUCCAAGCUAGAUGAGGCCAUGUCCUCAGAGCUUGGUUCUUCUGCCACAGUUGUUCCAUCUUUUGAACUUCUAAAAAGCUGGGUACCUGAGAAGAGAGUGAUUAGACAGUGUAUCAUGUGCUCCAAACUGCCUCUGGUGGCCAAUGGGCCCACUACCACCUCAAUGGAAGGAUAUUGUGCCUUCCCCAAAUGGCUACUUCAGGCAGCUUCAUCCAGGGCUGGGAGUAGACAAGGAGCAGUUUAGGGUAGGCCCACUAGGUUCUCCCCAAACCACAAAGCUUUAAGAAGUAGGAUAGGAGAAGAAGCAGAGAAAUGGAUGAGGGGCUGGGAUUAAGGGUGAGACAAGAUAGUACCCAUGUUCUGAUACCCAGGGGAG
ensembl:lncRNA